rnacentral:piRNA from 1 species
UUCCUCAUUUGCAUUUCAAAUGCUAACCC